rnacentral:rRNA from 1 species
GUGCGAAUGCUGACAUGAGUAACGUAAGGGGAGUGAGAGACUCCCCCGCCGAAAGUCCAAGGGUUCCUGCUUAAAGCUAAUCUGAGCAGGGUUAGCCGGCCCCUAAGUCGAGGCAGAAAUGCGUAGACGAUGGGAACCACGUUAAUAUUCGUGGGCCUGGAGGAAGUGACGGAUCAUUGAGGUAGUCCAAUCUUAUCGGAUUGAAAGGGCUGCUGCGUGGUUCCAGGAAAUAGCUCCUCCUUAUAGACCGUACCCGAAACCGACACUGGUGGU